rnacentral:rRNA from 1 species
CCUACGGGAGGCAGCAGUGAGGAAUAUUGGUCAAUGGGCGCGAGCCUGAACCAGCCAAGUAGCGUGAAGGAUGACUGCCCUACGGGUUGUAAACUUCUUUUAUAAAGGAAUAAAGUGAGGCACGUGUGCCUUUUUGUAUGUACUUUAUGAAUAAGGAUCGGCUAACUCCGUGCCAUCAGCCGCGGUAAUACGGAGGAUCCGAGCGUUAUCCGGAUUUAUUGGGUUUAAAGGGAGCGUAGAUGGGUUGUUAAGUCAGUUGUGAAAGUGUGCGGCUCAACCGUAAAAUUGCAAUUGAUACUGGCAGUCUUGAGUACAGUUGAGGUAGGCGGAAUUCGUGGUGUAGCGGUGAAAUGCUUAGAUAUCACGAAGAACUCCGAUUGCGAAGGCAGCUUACUAAACUGCCACUGACAUUGAUGCUCGAAAGUGUGGGUAUCAAACAGGAUUAGAUACCCGAGUAGUC